CAUCUUUGAGAUAUAAAUUAAUACUUCAGUAUUACUAGAGCCUAACACCUCCUCAAAGCAU
rnacentral:tRNA from 1 species